rnacentral:lncRNA from 1 species
AUGUAUGUUGAGAAAUUCAUCGUUUUCUUUGACCUGGAGACCACUGGAUUCGGCAAAAUGUGUGACAUCAUCCAGUUGUCGGCCAUCCAUGAAGAUAGAGACUUUAACGUCUACAUCCUCCCCAGCUGCCCCAUCCAUGAGAAAGCCUCAGAGCGUCCCGUGCUGCUGGCGGCCCACAAUGCAAAGGUGUGGGAUGCACCCUUGCUCCAAAGAGACCUGCGACAGUUCUCCCUCUACACAGAGUUCCAGCAGGUGGUGUCUGGGUUUGUGGAUACCUUACCGCUAAGCAGGAACCUCCAUCCUGAUCUGCCCAGUCAUUCUCGGGUGAAUCUGGUCC